GAUGAACGCUGGCGGCGUGCCUAAUACAUGCAAGUCGAGCGAACAGACGAGGAGCUUGCUCCUCUGACGUUAGCGGCGGACGGGUGAGUAACACGUGGAUAACCUACCUAUAAGACUGGGAUAACUUCGGGAAACCGGAGCUAAUACCGGAUAAUAUAUUGAACCGCAUGGUUCAAUAGUGAAAGACGGUUUUGCUGUCACUUAUAGAUGGAUCCGCGCCGCAUUAGCUAGUUGGUAAGGUAACGGCUUACCAAGGCAACGAUGCGUAGCCGACCUGAGAGGGUGAUUCGCCACACUGGAACUGAGACACGGUCCAGACUCCUACGGGAGGCAGCAGUAGGGAAUCUUCCGCAAUGGGCGAAAGCCUGACGGAGCAACGCCGCGUGAGUGAUGAAGGUCUUCGGAUCGUAAAACUCUGUUAUUAGGGAAGAACAAAUGUGUAAGUAACUAUGCACGUCUUGACGGUACCUAAUCAGAAAGCCACGGCUAACUACGUG
rnacentral:rRNA from 1 species